UACGGAGGGUGCGAGCGUUGUCCGGAAUCAUUGGGCGUAAGGGCGCGUAGGUGGCCUGCUAAGCGUGCGGUGAAAGUCGGGGGCUCAACCCCCGAUCGGCCGUGCGAACUGGGAGGCUUGAGCACUGUAGAGGCAGGCGGAAUUCCGGGUGUAGCGGUGGAAUGCGUAGAGAUCCGGAAGAACACCGGUGGCGAAGGCGGCCUGCUGGGCAGUUUUGCUGACACUGAGGCGCGACAGCGUGGGGAGCAAACAGG
rnacentral:rRNA from 1 species